UACGUAGGGACCAAGCGUUGUUCGGGUUUACUGGGCGUAAAGGGCGCGUAGGCGGCAAAUUAAGUCAUCUGUGAAAUCUCCGAGCUUAACUCGGAACGGUCAGGUGAUACUGAUCUGCUAGAGUGCGGAAGGGGCAAUCGGAAUUCUUGGUGUAGCGGUGAAAUGCGUAGAUAUCAAGAGGAACACCUGAGGUGAAGACGGGUUGCUGGGCCGACACUGACGCUGAGGAGCGAAAGCAUGGGGAGCAAACAGG
rnacentral:rRNA from 1 species